AUAUAUAUAUAUAUAUAUAUAUAUAUCUUAUUUGUACGCCUUGGAGAGUAAAAUUGAGAAUACAGUGAUAAACGGAGCUUACUGUUGGCCAGGGUUAUAAUACUGAUGUGAUAACUGGUUGAAUGUGAUUUCUGCAAUCCCCUGAAGUUUUUUGUUUGUUUAAAUAAUGGUUUGUCAAAUCAAUUUGUUCCAAGAAGUGAAAGUGUACAACUGAGGAAUACAGCUGUUUAUUACUGUGCUCUAUAUGCAGAAAUAGUUUAGAAUAAGUAUUUUCCUGAAAAGUUUUUUUUUUUUUUUUUUUUUUUUUGAGGGGCGAGUUUUUUUGGUUAAUAUUACAAUAUAUUGAUUAUGUCACAAAACAUGCCUUGUGCUGAUUGAGAAUGGAUGUUGUAUACAAGCAUAGAAUGAAAUUUGUUUUUGACACUUGGAUAUUAACUCAGUUGUGUAUAUUAAACAUGGAGGAAGGUCAGGUAUAUUUUUAGUAUAUAUUGAGAAUUGUAGAUUAUAUUUUAUUAACUUAUUUGUGUCCCUUCUGCUUUGUGUACAGGUUAAGUUUUUCUAAUUGUCAAAUGAAAAUCCUGUGACUUCUCUCAUUUUGUAUUUUCCCCCCAUUAUAAUAGAAGCGUUUGUUUGUCGUUAUAGUUAUGGAUUUAGAUGUCAAUUGUAUGGACCGAACAAACCCAGGGGAACUCAGUAAAUUGUGUGUGUGUUUACAGUAACAUUCAGUUAGCCAUGCCACAAAAUGCUUAUGAGUGUGUUUCGAUGAAAAUGUAGUUAAUACCAUUAAAACGUAAAGCUCACGUCUUAUCAAGAAAUAUCUUUGACACAAUAAAGACAUUUUUCCUCCUACUGCUGUUCCUCAACAGUUGGUGGCAAUUCUGUCACAUGAAACGAGAAAUUAACACUGGAUCUUGUACCAGCUUUUGACUUCUGUAAUUUAUGAUCUUGUUUUUGUUGAUUCUUUCAUUUUAUUUGCAUUAUGAGAAAUCUGUAAACAUUUAAAACUUUCUGACAUUUAUGUACUUGUUUAGCAUUGUAACCCAGCAGCUUGUUAUAGUUUAAAGGAAAAUGCCAACAUUUUCCCACCUAGGCACUUUAUUUAUUUUUUUAUGUUUUGUGGGUCAUCUUUUCACUUUGGACAAAAAUUAAUGUUGGACCCAGCCCCACCUCGGCAAUCAACUUAUAAUCACUCAGUGGACAUUGUCGCCAUCCAGCAGCUAAAACGCUAAGGUAAGCAGCCAACUUUAUAAUCGUUUCUUGAAAAGUUUAUGUUUAGCGAGGAAAACAUGCGUGUUUAUCUGUGCGUAGGUCCUGUCCAUGCUACUGGACAGGACCUAGUGAUGCUUUUGCCUCUUGACAGGUGACAAGAACCUGCAAACUGAGUAUUUCUGAUAGCCCCAACCAGUAACAUUAAUUAGUUGGUUAGCCUGUGACUUUGUAUUCUAAAUCGCUAAUGACCAGAUAAAAUUUUUGUCAUGAAUGAAAAUGUGACCCCCAGUACAUCUAAGAAAUAAAUCUUAGUUUGGAAAGUGCCAGUUAUUCUUUAAACUUGACAACCUUACAGUUCAUAGCCUCCACCAAGGCCCACAACACCUCAUCUCACAAUUUGAUUUUUUUUUUUUUUUUUUUAUCUGGAUUGUACCCCAACAUUCCUUGGUUGUUAACUAAGGCCAGACUCAGCCAUUUUGCCACAUUUUGUAAAAGUUUAUUGGCAUACCAUUAGCUGUGGCUGACAUAUGAAUAUCAGCUAAAAAUGCAAACAGACCCUUUUCACAGUGGCUACUUCCUGCUACUGAAAUGUGUUGAAAAUGACAUAAUUAUGUUUGCAUUAAUGAAGUGAUCUAAUUAGUGUCAUUUUUUUUUAAAGUGUCAGUUCUGAGCCUCUUGGAUGUGGUUUAUAUAUAUAUAUAUAUAUAUAUAAAUUCUGGUCACUUCAUGUGAUAAAGUACAUAAAGCCUUUGUUGAAGUAAUUGAAAUAAGUUGCGCUGUCGGUGAAAAGGGUCUGUUUUGAAAUUCUGGCCCUGUUAUAAUAAGAGGCAUCAGCGGCAUGUGUGUCUCUGCUGUAAACUUUAAUCCUGACACCCUUUGGUCUCAGUCCACUAGUGAAGGGUUUUGCCGUGUGUGUUGUUGACUCUGUAAAAACAGAAUUAUCAGCUGUCUGUGUACUUCUGUUCAUUUUUUAAACUGUCUGUUCAUUCAGUGCAUUCCUAUAUUAUUUAUGGUUACACUGUAAUUGUAACAAGUGUAUAUAGGAUUCAUAUGCACAUGCUAUAAAUAUAUUUAAAAAGACCCAACAUAUAUAAUGACAUCUUGUCAAUGAUGGUCCUGUACAUAACUCCCCCCCCCCCCCCCCCCCCCCCUCCCGUCUUCUAUGUAAGUUAUUGUUUGAGUGAACGUAUGAACUGCUAGCACAAAAGUAAAUGUGCACUGUCUUGGGGUGAAUGUCUAUCACUGGUUGGUGGCAGUAGUGUCACUGUACCAUCACUGUUCACACUGCCACCUGCAUGACUUUUUUUUUUUAUAUAUCCACUCUGUCGUUAUGUACUCAGAUUUUCUCCCAAAAAUGUAAUAAUGGUUGUUGUAUUUGUUAAAAUACUCUUAAGUGAAAGAUUGUCAGGAAAUUACACAACAUUUGUUUAAUUUUAGUUUUUCUUCUAUGAAUAUUUGCCAUUUAAUUCAUUAGGAUGUAUAAUGUGUUCUAUACAUUUUGGUAAUCAAAUAUAAAAAAUGAUUUUUAGAAAAACACAUUCUUUGGGCCUACAUGCAAGUGUUUCGUGUUCAUGGUCUGUUGCAAAGUGCCUUCCAGAUACUGAUUGUGCACAGCAGUGGAUUAAAAAAAAAAAGGUUGCUCUUUUGUAAAGGUUAAGAACUGUACAGAGUGACCUGCAUUGACACUUUUUGAUAAAACAGAAAAUGUACAGUAUCUUAAACAUGGUAUUUUAUCAUUGUAUUCCACAAGGUGGCUCUUACGACAUGAGCUACUGGUUUUGUUAUGUCUUUGGACACAUUUCAGUAUAAGCAUACUUUGCUAUAGAUUUCUGUUUUUGUAUGCCGUUGUUGGGCCUCGUCUCUUGUUGGUACAGAGAUGAACAUUAAAUAAACAGCAGUUAGAA